rnacentral:rRNA from 1 species
UUGCGUAGGUGGUUUAAUAAGCGAAUAGUGAAAUCUGGUGGCUCAACCAUUCAGACUAUUAUUCGAACUGUUGAACUCGAGAGCAGAAGAGGUAGCUGGAAUUUCUAGUGUAGGAGUGAAAUCCGUAGAUAUUAGAAGGAACACCGAUGGCGUAGGCAGGCUACUGGGCUGUUUCUGACACUGAGGCACGAAAGCGUGGGGAGGCAACC